rnacentral:rRNA from 1 species
AGAGUUUGAUCCUGGCUCAGAUUGAACGCUGGCGGAAUGCUUUACACAUGCAAGUCGAACGGUAGAGGGGGCAACCCCUUGAGAGUGGCGAACGGGUGAGUAAUAUAUCGGAACGUGCCCAGUCGCGGGGGAUAACGUAGCGAAAGUUACGCUAAUACCGCAUACGAUCUAAGGAUGAAAGCGGGGGAUCGCGAGACCUCGCGCGAUUGGAGCGGCCGAUAUCAGAUUAGGUAGUUGGUGGGGUAAAGGCUCACCAAGCCAACGAUCUGUAGCUGGUCUGAGAGGACGACCAGCCACACUGGAACUGAGACACGGUCCAGACUCCUACGGGAGGCAGCAGUGGGGAAUUUUGGACAAUGGACGCAAGUCUGAUCCAGCCAUUCCGCGUGCAGGAUGAAGGCCCUCGGGUUGUAAACUGCUUUUGUACGGAACGAAAAGGUUUCCAUUAAUACUGGGGGCUCAUGACGGUACCGUAAGAAUAAGCACCGGCUAACUACGUGCCAGCAGCCGCGGUAAUACGUAGGGUGCAAGCGUUAAUCGGAAUUACUGGGCGUAAAGCGUGCGCAGGCGGUUAUGUAAGACAGAGGUGAAAUCCCCGGGCUCAACCUGGGA